rnacentral:rRNA from 1 species
CGCUGGCGGCGUGCCUAAUACAUGCAAGUCGAGCGAGCGGAAUCAACAGAUUACUCGGUAAUGACGUUGGGAAAGCGAGCGGCGGAUGGGUGAGUAACACGUGGGGAACCUGCCCCUAAGUCUGGGAUACCAUUUGGAAACAGGUGCUAAUACCGGAUAAUAAAGCAGAUCGCAUGAUCAGCUUUUGAAAGGCGGCGUAAGCUGUCGCUAAGGGAUGGCCCCGCGGUGCAUUAGCUAGUUGGUAAGGUAACGGCUUACCAAGGCGACGAUGCAUAGCCGAGUUGAGAGACUGAUCGGCCACAUUGGGACUGAGACACGGCCCAAACUCCUACGGGAGGCAGCAGUAGGGAAUCUUCCACAAUGGACGCAAGUCUGAUGGAGCAACGCCGCGUGAGUGAAGAAGGUUUUCGGAUCGUAAAGCUCUGUUGUUGGUGAAGAAGGAUAGAGGUAGUAACUGGCCUUUAUUUGACGGUAAUCAACCAGAAAGUCACGGCUAACUACGUG